AGUUCGGACUGCAGUCUGCAACUCGACUGCACGAAGCUGGAAUCGCUAGUAAUCGCGGAUCAGCACGCCGCGGUGAAUACGUUCCCGGGCCUUGUACACACCGCCCGUCACACCAUGGAAGUCUGCAAUGCCCGAAGCCGGUGGCCUAACCACUUAUGUGGAAGGAGCCGUCUAAGGCAGGGCAGAUGACUGGGGUGAAGUCGUAACAAGGUAUC
rnacentral:rRNA from 1 species